rnacentral:lncRNA from 1 species
GGGAAGGCUCCUGUCACAGCCCAGCUUGGCCCCGCUGUUAGGGGGGAGCAUGGGAGGCUAAACCUGGGACAGGGCACGUGGGAGGGCAGGAGGCCAGCGCCUUGCCAGGCUCUACUGGAGAGGGGGAGGAAUAAGCAAUAAAAAUGGGGAAGGCAGAGGCGAAAUCUCAGCGGGACCGACCGGUCCUUGGAGGAAGCCAGCAAUCGUCAGCUUUUGGGGAGGUGUCUCAAGGCCCAAAGGGAGGAUCGCGGGAAGGGCUUUGGGCAGAUGCUGUGGCUCUCGGGGCCGCCGCAGUGUCUCUGUUCCUUGAGCUAGCAAAGACACUUACAUGAAGAACUGGGUUCCAGGAGCUGUCCUUGUAUCAACAGCAGACAGCAGCGACCCAAGCCACCUGCGGGCCCUGGACUUCACCCUGGGCAGCCCUCAGGAGAUCAGCCAAGCCUGGAUGCCCUCACUGAUGGAGCAGCUGGGACAAAUGAGCUGGGGCACCACGGCAUCCCCUUGCACCAGGAGCAUGACAGCUCUGCGUAACCACGGCCCCUUCCUGCGGCCCGAGCCCCCGUCAGCGCUCUGCUCCCAGAGGAGCAGCCUGCUCUGAGGACGUGCUGGGCUGGAGGCAGAAAAAGGCACUGGGUAAAACCCCUCUGCGACCAGUCGCUGAUGCAUUGGGAUGUGCCGAUCCCCGCGGCUGUCCCUGUUUCCCGAGCCCUGGGUGGUGGCUGCUUCCUUUACUUCCCCAAAGUAAAGGCGAGGGAGCAGUUCUCGCACAUCACCGCAGCUUUCUGGUUGCACAGAGCACGUUUCCUCCCGCUAACGGCCAAAGUCUCAGUGUGCAAUCCCCUCCCUGCCCUGUUCCUGCACCUUGAGACCCCCGGGCAUCUCCUUCCCCGGGGGCAGCUUGGCGCCCGCUGCCGUUCCUGCGCAUGCCCUGGGGCGCCGCAGCGGUGCUCCGAGCGCGGUGAUUUNNNNNNNNNNNNCGUCACCGCUGCCGCCGCCGCAGCGCUCCCCUUCUAUUUUCAUUUGCUUUGCUUGUUUGCUGCAUUGUUUCCUGUGCUCAAAGAGCUUCGGGAGGUCGCUCUGUGUCCGACCCACGGGAACAACGCCGGGCGGUCCCUCCGCUCUCCCUGGCUCCCCUGUCAUGGCUGCUGUCCUCACAGGUGGCUGCUGCUGGGGGUAUUUUGCUUGCAAGCCUGCCCUACUUUGGAUCAGCCCACAACAUCUUUUAUUUUGAGAGGAACUGAGGAUGAAUUGGUGUGGCGCACAUGGCUUCCAUGCAGCUGCAGCCGUUUGUGUCAGAUGAGGAUUUGAUCCUUCUGCUUAAUCCCAGGUUUGGUUUUAUUGAGCCCUUACUAAUAUAUGCGUUCUUCUGAGCUCAUGUAUAAUCUGCAGUAUAAUUCUUGUAUUCCUCUUCCCUAGAGGAAGGAGGCAAAGGAGAGAGCGGUUCUUUGCAGCUGUCUGGUGCCCUUUGCAUCCUCCUCCCUCCAGAACAUGCUGUGGUUUUCUGGCAAGGCAUUUUGUAGCGCAUCGCUCACGGUCCACUCCCUGCCGGACAUGCCACCAGGGCAGUUGCUCCCCGAAUACCCGCUCGAGUUGCUCUCUUUUACCUCAGCUCUUCUGCUGCCCUCCACCCCGAAGAGCCCAGCUCGGAGAAGCUCCUCGGUGCGGGGUCAUUGCUGUGCUCAGAGGAGCACAGGACGGUCCCUUUCUGCAAACAGCUCAGGGGGAGGGGGGAGAAGGAAUUUCACUAAGAAUUUCCUCGCUGAGGGCCCUGAUUCCUGGCCGAGUCUCUUGGGAGAGGAAUUUAAGCAGGCUGGGAUGUGUUUGGGGCGGCCAGCGGGUGCCGGGCCACGCAUGCUGCUAGGACGGAUGCUCUACAGCUCCCUCGGCCCCUCUCUGCCAGCCUCCCGGCAGCCCUAGCAGCCUGGGGCGUUCCCAAUUCCCGGCCAGCCAGAAACGAGUGGGGCUCCUCACUCACAAAAAUGCAAAAGGAAACUGCGUCUGGCCUCAGCGGUCGAGCGUGAAAGUGGAGGGACAUGCAGCUGUGAUUUUGCCCAGAUCAACACUGAGAAGCCCC